rnacentral:tRNA from 1 species
GGAAUAUGGCUUAGUGGUAUAGUGCUUGCCUAGCAUGCAUGAAGCCCUGGGUUCAAUUCCUCAGUACCA